UAGGGAAUAUUGGUCAAUGGAUGGAAGUCUGAACCAGCCAUGCCGCGUGCAGGAAGAAGGCCUUCUGGGUUGUAAACUGCUUUUGCCAGGGGCUAAAAAGCUCAUGCGUGAGAAAUUGAAAGUACCUGGUGAAUAAGCCACGGCUAACUACGUGCCAGCAGCCGCGGUAAUACGUAGGUGGCAAGCGUUGUCCGGAUUUAUUGGGUUUAAAGGGUGCGUAGGCGGCUUUGUAAGUCAGUGGUGAAAUAUGGCAGCUCAACUGUCAGGGUGCCAUUGAUACUGCGGAGCUUGAGUACAGAUGAGGUAGGCGGAAUUGACGGUGUAGCGGUGAAAUGCUUAGAUAUCGUCAAGAACACCGAUAGCGAAGGCAGCUUACUGGGCUGUAACUGACGCUGAGGCACGAAAGUGUGGGGGAUCAAACAGGAUUAGAUACCCUGGUAGUCCACACUGUAAACGUUGAUGACUCGCUGUUGGCG
rnacentral:rRNA from 1 species